GCUGGGUGUGGUGGUGCACGCCUGGAAUCCCAGCAGUUUGGGAGGCUGAGGCAGGAGGAUUACGAGUUCAAAGCCAGCCUCAG
rnacentral:sRNA from 1 species